rnacentral:rRNA from 1 species
AGAGUUUGAUCAUGGCUCAGGACGAACGCUGGCGGCGUGCCUAAUACAUGCAAGUCGAGCGGACCGACGGGAGCUUGCUCCCUUAGGUCAGCGGCGGACGGGUGAGUAACACGUGGGUAACCUGCCUGUAAGACUGGGAUAACUCCGGGAAACCGGGGCUAAUACCGGAUGCUUGAUUGAACCGCAUGGUUCAAUCAUAAAAGGUGGCUUUUAGCUACCACUUGCAGAUGGACCCGCGGCGCAUUAGCUAGUUGGUGAGGUAACGGCUCACCAAGGCGACGAUGCGUAGCCGACCUGAGAGGGUGAUCGGCCACACUGGGACUGAGACACGGCCCAGACUCCUACGGGAGGCAGCAGUAGGGAAUCUUCCGCAAUGGACGAAAGUCUGACGGAGCAACGCCGCGUGAGUGAUGAAGGUUUUCGGAUCGUAAAACUCUGUUGUUAGGGAAGAACAAGUACCGUUCGAAUAGGGCGGCACCUUGACGGUACCUAACCAGAAAGCCACGGCUAACUACGUGCCAGCAGCCGCGGUAAUACGUAGGUGGCAAGCGUUGUCCGGAAUUAUUGGGCGUAAAGCGCGCGCAGGCGGUUUCUUAAGUCUGAUGUGAAAGCCCCCGGCUCAACCGGAGAGGGUCAUUGGAAACUGGGGAACUUGAGUGCAGAAGAGGAGAGUGGAAUUCCACGUGUAGCGGUGAAAUGCGUAGAGAUGUGGAGGAACACCAGUGGCGAAGGCGACUCUCUGGUCUGUAACUGACGCUGAGGCGCGAAAGCGUGGGGAGCGAACAGGAUUAGAUACCCUGGUAGUCCACGCCGUAAACGAUGAGUGCUAAGUGUUAGAGGGUUUCCGCCCUUUAGUGCUGCAGCAAACGCAUUAAGCACUCCGCCUGGGGAGUACGGUCGCAAGACUGAAACUCAAAGGAAUUGACGGGGGCCCGCACAAGCGGUGGAGCAUGUGGUUUAAUUCGAAGCAACGCGAAGAACCUUACCAGGUCUUGACAUCCUCUGACAACCCUAGAGAUAGGGCUUCCCCUUCGGGGGCAGAGUGACAGGUGGUGCAUGGUUGUCGUCAGCUCGUGUCGUGAGAUGUUGGGUUAAGUCCCGCAACGAGCGCAACCCUUGAUCUUAUUUGCCAGCAUUCAGUUGGGCACUCUAAGGUGACUGCCGGUGACAAACCGGAGGAAGGCGGGAU